rnacentral:rRNA from 1 species
AGCAGCCGCGGUAAUUCCAGCUCCAAUAGCGUAUAUUAAAGUUGUUGCAGUUAAAAAGCUCGUAGUUGAAUUUCGGGAUUAGCAAGUUGGUCGUGCCUUCGGUAUGCACUGGCUUUGCUGAUUCCUCCUUCUUGAAGAACUGUAAUGCUAUUAAUUUAGUGUUGCAGGGAAACAGGACUGUUACUUUGAAAAAAUUAGAGUGUUUAAAGCAGGCUAACGCUUGAAUACAUUAGCAUGGAAUAAUGAAAUAGGACGUUCGAUCCUAUUUUGUUGGUUUCUAGGAUUGACGUAAUGAUUAAUAGGGAUAGUUGGGGGCAUUAGUAUUCAAUUGUCAGAGGUGAAAUUCUUGGAUUUAUUGAAGACUAACUACUGCGAAAGCAUUUGCCAAGGAUGUUUUCAUUAAUCAAGAACGAAAGUUAGGGGAUCGAAGACGAUCAGAUACCGUCGUAG